rnacentral:rRNA from 1 species
GUACGGGAGGCAGCAGUGGGGAAUUUUGCGCAAUGGGGGAAACCCUGACGCAGCAACGCCGCGUGAGUGAUGAAGGCCUUCGGGUCGUAAAGCUCUGUCUAGAGGAAAGAAGUGUGCGGGUGAUAAUACCACUUGCACUUGACGGUACCUCUGAAGGAAGCACCGGCUAACUCCGUGCCAGCAGCCGCGGUAAUACGGAGGGUGCGAGCGUUGUUCGGAUUUAUUGGGCGUAAAGCGCGUGUAGGCGGUUUCUUAAGUCUGAUGUGAAAGCCCCGGGCUCAACCUGGGAAGUGCAUUGGAUACUGGGAGACUUGAAUACGGGAGAGGGUAGUGGAAUUCCUAGUGUAGGAGUGAAAUCCGUAGAUAUUAGGAGGAACACCGGUGGCGAAGGCGGCUACCUGGACCGAUAUUGACGCUGAGACGCGAAAGCGUGGGUAGCAAACAGGAUUAGAUACCCCGGUAGA